rnacentral:rRNA from 1 species
AGCUCCAGUAGCGUAUAUUAAUGUUGCUGCAGUUAAAAAGCUCGUAGUUGGAUUUCUGGUAUGAUUCACUUAGCCCGCUCGAAAGAGUUGAGUGCUUGAGUGCAUCUACCAUCCUUCGUGUAAAUCUUCUCUGCCGAAAGGUUUGAGUUGUAUGAGCACGAUCUUUUACUUUGAAAAAAUUAGAGUGUUUAAAGCAGGCUUACGCUUAUGAAUACAUUAGCAUGGAAUAAUAAUAUAGGGCUUCGGUUUUAUUUUGUUGGUUCUAGAAACUGAAGUAAUGAUUGAUAGGGAUAGUUGGGGGUGCUUGUAUUUCAAGGUCAGAGGUGAAAUUCUUGGAUUCUUGAAAGACAAACUUAUGCGAAAGCAUUCACCAAGGAUAUCUUCUUUA